CCCCCUACCAUCCUCUAGCUUUAAUUCGUUUGGACCCGCUGUGUCCUGCAGCAGCGGAGCCCAUGGGGCUGGGAAGUGCUUUCUUAACCCGCGGUAGUGCGUUGGACUUCGUGAUGCCUAGAUGAGGCGGAAGGGGGUACCAGGACCUAGUGUCAAUGGAUGGACCAAGGACCUGGAUGCAAGCCAGGGCUCCCUGGGUCAGGGGCAGCCGGAUUUGCUGGAAAAAGAUGCUUCUAAAGGCGAACACACACGUAAUACACCAACUCCCUUUCUGCCCUGGUCUAGUGACUCCUUUCAUGAAAGAUCUCUGAAAUGUUAUCUGCAUUUACACCCAAACUCACUUGCUUUGAUCCUUGAAACGCGAAUCAAAGAUCACAUUGUACCUUGCCUGGGUGUAUGGGGCUUUCAGUCGCCUGGGCCAAAAAUAAUAAAAAUGGCACCCAGCCAG